rnacentral:rRNA from 1 species
UACGUAGGGGGCAAGCGUUAUCCGGAUUUACUGGGUGUAAAGGGAGCGUAGGCGGCUUAGUAAGUCAGAAGUGAAAGCCCGCAGCUCAACUGCGGGACUGCUUUUGAAACUGCCAGGCUAGAGUGUCGGAGAGGUAAGUGGAAUUCCUAGUGUAGCGGUGAAAUGCGUAGAUAUUAGGAGGAACACCAGUGGCGAAGGCGGCUCUCUGGUCUGUAACUGACGCUGAGGCUCGAAAGCAUGGGUAGCGAACAGG